rnacentral:rRNA from 1 species
UACGUAGGGACCAAGCGUUGUCCGGAAUCAUUGGGCGUAAAGAGCGUGUAGGCGGCUUGUUAAGUCUUGCGUGAAAUCUCGGGGCUCAACCCCGAGCGGUCGUGAGAAACUGGCAGGCUAGAGUGCGGGAGAGGAGAGUGGAAUUCCUGGUGUAGCGGUGAAAUGCGCAGAUAUCAGGAAGAACACCCGUGGCGAAGGCGGCUCCCUGGAACGCAACUGACGCUGAGACGCGAAAGCGUGGGGAGCAAACAGG